UUGAACGCUGGCGGUAUGCUUAACACAUGCAAGUCGAACGGGGGUAGUAAUACCCUAGUGGCGGACGGGUGAGUAAUGCAUGGGAAUCUGCCUAGUAGUGGGGAAUAACCCGGCGAAAGCCGGGCUAAUGCCGCAUACGAUCUACGGAUGAAAGCGGGGGACCUUCGGGCCUCGCGCUAUUAGAUGAGCCCAUGCCGGAUUAGCUAGUUGGUGAGGUAACGGCUCACCAAGGCGACGAUCCGUAGCUGGUCUGAGAGGACGGCCAGCCACACUGGGACUGAGACACGGCCCAGACUCCUACGGGAGGCAGCAGUGGGGAAUAUUGGACAAUGGGCGAAAGCCUGAUCCAGCGACGCCGCGUGUGUGAAGAAGGCCUGCGGGUUGUAAAGCACUUUCGGUGGGAACGAAAUGUGCCGGGCUAAUACCCCGGUAAGCUGACGUUACUCAAUGAAGAAGCACCGGCUAACUCUGU
rnacentral:rRNA from 1 species